AAUUUGAAACGCUAACCCAGAUUCUUCUUGCUUCUCUAAGUAUCAUAGUAUAUUUG
rnacentral:sRNA from 1 species